GUGCUCGCUUCGGUAGCACAUAUACUAAAAUUGGAACAAUACAGAGAUUAACAUGGCCCCUGUGCAAGGAUGACAUGCAAAUUUGUGAAGUGUUCCAUAUUUUU